CUUGAAUAUAAUGAGACUUCUCAUUAAUGCAUUAAAAUUUGAAUGCAUUUGGAGAGGUAAGCAAGCUGGAAAAUUGUUUUCCCUGGACAAUAAUCUAUCAUUUGUAUUUCAGGAGAAAAUGAAGUUCCGUCUGAAGAUGCGCUAGUACUGCAGCUGCAGCUUGCAAAAGGGCACGAGAAAUUUAUUGAAAUGCUAAAAAGUCAGCAGCAGAUAAUUGUGGAUUUGCAGCAAAAACUUGCUGAACAACAGCAAGUAUUGGUUAGCCAGCAACGGGAAAUUCUUGAACAGCAAAGAAAAAUGUAUGAGCAAAUGGAUCUGAUCAAAGUUCAGUAUGGCAUGCUUUUUGACACAGUGAAACAAAUGUCAUUUCAGAGUUUGCAAGAAGAUAUUCAAAAUUAUUUUGAAAGUCAUCUUCAAGGACUUCAGAAGCAGGUCAGAAAUCAUCUCCAGAAGUCAUACUCUGUCCGUAAAGUAGAAGUGGAUGCAAAAGUGAUUAAUGUUGGGGAGUCUUUGCUGGACUGUGGUCUUUGUGAAAGUGAUGAAUUCUGCAAUUUCCAAAAGACACCUUCACAGUGUGAAAAAUGCACAUUGUGUCCUGCUGGCUUUUUCCAAAUGGCUGAGUGUUCUGCAAACUCUGAUCGGAUUUGUCAGGACAGAGAUGAAUGCACUGAAUCUCCAAGCAUUUGUGGUGAGAGGAUAAAAUGCCUGAAUACGCCAGUGGAUUUCAAUGCUGAUCAGGCAGAGAGGAGGACCAGCUACUGGAGUGACCCACAUCGCACACAUCUAUUCCACCAGUGGAUUUCAAUCCUGAUCGGGCAGAGAGGAG
rnacentral:lncRNA from 1 species